AACGCAGCGAAGGGCGAUAAGUAAUGUGAAUUGCAGAUUUUCAGUGAAUCAUCGAAUCUUUGAACGCACCUUGCGCUCCUUGGUAUUCCGAGGAGCAUGCCUGUUUGAGUGUCAUUAAAUUCUCAAACUCUGAUUGAUUUGUUUCAAUCGGAGCUUUGGAUUUGGAGCAUGCCGGCGUCAAGUCGGCUCCUCUUGAAUGCAUCAGCGGAAUCCCAUUCAUUUCGGACGUCAGUGUGAUAAUCAUGUUGCGCUGUCUUUGCGAUCUUGAAAGCCCGCUCACAAUGGUCUUCGGACAAACCUCACAUAUCAUAUUUGACCUCAAAUCAGGUAGGACUACCCGCUGAACUUAA
rnacentral:rRNA from 1 species